GAUGAACGCUGGCGGCGUGCCUAACACAUGCAAGUCGAACGAGAACCCAUUCUUCGGAUUGGGGGACAGUGGCGAACGGGUGAGUAACACGUUGGUGACCUGCCCCGAAGUGAGGGACAAUCCUGCGAAAGCGGGGCUAAUACCGCAUGUGCUCCACGGGGGUUAGAGGCCCCUCGGAGUAAAGCUCCGGCGCUUCGGGAGGGACCUGCGGCCUAUCAGCUAGUUGGUGAGGUAACGGCUCACCAAGGCUAAGACGGGUAGGGGGCGGUGAGAGCGUGGCCCCCCACCAAUGGAACUGAGACACGGUCCAUACUCCUACGGGAGGGCAGCAGUGAGGAAUAUUGCGCAAUGGGGGAAACCCGUCGACGCAGCAACGCCGCGUGGGUGAUGAAGGCCUUCGGGUCGUAAAACCCUUUUCUGGGGGAAGAGAAAGGACGGUACCUCAGGAAUAAGUCCCGGCUAACUACGUG
rnacentral:rRNA from 1 species